ensembl:lncRNA
UCGAGAGGCAGGACCAGAGAGAGUAUGUGCAGGCGCUCUGCCUAUGCUGAGCUGCAGGUCGCAGUACGCGCCUGGUUUCUGUAAGGAGGGUUCAGUCUUUCACGCUGCGGAGGGAGGGGGAGAGGGUUCAAGAUGGAGUCCGAUGCACAUGAUGGAGGAGCCACCAGGGCAGCCAAAGAAGAAGCCAAAGAAGCCAAAGAAGACCCAGGUGCCGUGGAAUUUGCAGCGGGCACAGCACAUGGUAGCCACAGAGUGCCAGGUGGUGCUGGUGGCCAGGAUGACCCUGGUGACGCAGCUUGCCCUGGUGACGUCGUCAGUCACGGGGUUCAUGGAGGCGCUGGUGACCUGGCUGGUCCCAGAGGCCCCAGCGCUGCAGGAGAGCCAGAUGGCGCAGCUGGUGCCAUUCUGCAGAUCUCAGGGCCACCUCACGCUCCAGGGCCUAGUGGAAAUGCUGCACCUGGAGCCGCAGUUGUGAGUAACCGUGACCUUCGGUUCCUCACUGUGGCUUUCUCAUCACACGCGGAAGCUGACAUCGCCCGCCACUUCCUGACUCCACGGACUCAACUGCGAGGGCCAAUUCGGAAGGAGCUCGAUGUUAAUGGCCGCAUGCUGGUUCUCCGAUUGACUGCUGAAGACCCUGGCCUGCUCCAGAGCUCCAUCGUUUUCUGUCUGGAGCAGCUUUCCCUGGUGAUGCGGUCCUUGCAGCACUUUGGGGCUCCUCUUUCUCAGCACAGAAGAGGGGUUUAAACCUAGCCUAUGUGCCCUAGGUUCAGGUGUCCUUCCCCAGGGGAUUGCUUUCUGCAGUGCUUUGAUUGGGCUUCAUCUUAUGUCUGUGCUGAUUUUGGCGGCUCAGUGUCUACAUAGUUUGUUUGGUGAUUGUUAACUGCAAAAAAUAAAACUGAGCUAUUGUGCUGUCUCUGAC